UACGUAGGGGGCAAGCGUUGUCCGGAUUUAUUGGGCGUAAAGAGCGUGUAGGCGGCCAUGCAGGUCCGUUGUGAAAACUCGAGCUCAACCUCGAGACGCCGAUGGAAACCGCAUGGCUAGAGUCCGGAAGAGGCGAGUGGAAUUCCUGGUGUAGCGGUGAAAUGCGCAGAUAUCAGGAGGAACACCUAUUGCGAAGGCAGCUCGCUGGGACGUUACUGACGCUGAGACGCGAAAAGCGUGGGGAGCAAACAGG
rnacentral:rRNA from 1 species